rnacentral:rRNA from 1 species
GAUGAACGCUGGCGGCGUGCCUAAUACAUGCAAGUCGAGCGAACAGACGAGGAGCUUGCUCCUCUGACGUUAGCGGCGGACGGGUGAGUAACACGUGGAUAACCUACCUAUAAGACUGGGAUAACUUCGGGAAACCGGAGCUAAUACCGGAUAAUAUAUUGAACCGCAUGGUUCAAUAGUGAAAGACGGUUUUGCUGUCACUUAUAGAUGGAUCCGCGCCGCAUUAGCUAGUUGGUAAGGUAACGGCUUACCAAGGCGACGAUGCGUAGCCGACCUGAGAGGGUGGUCGGCCACACGGGAACUGAGACACGGACCAGACUCCUGAGAGAGGCAGCAGUAGGGAAUCUGACGCAAUGGGCGAAAGCCUGACGGAGCAACGCCGCGUGAGUGAUGAAGAUCUUCGGAUCGUAAAACUCUGUUAUUAGGGAAGAACAAAUGUGUAAGUAACUAUGCACGUCUUGACGGUACCUAAUCAGAAAGCCACGGCUAACUACGUG